GUCUAACAACAGUAGAGUAAAACACUAUAUUAAAACACAUCAACAAUAUUUAUAAAACCGAGAUGAGUAAUCAGGAGCGGCACGGAGCGGCAUCAACAUCCUCAACCGCAGGGCAUUCGAGGCAGCCCGAGGGCCAAAGAGAAAUGUCACUUCUCCAGGAACAAGUGCAAGAAGAUAUCUUACAGCGUAUGCUAACCAAGUUUAACUUGAUUUGUCGGAAUGAAGCUAUAGAUUUGGAUCACCUCCUGGAUGUUGCUCAGCAAGAACUUGCUUUGGCUAUUAAUGCAUCAAAU